CAAAACUCAUUUCUUUUCCAACUCUUGCUUCAUGAAAUCACUGCAACUGUGUUUGGCCUCCAAUAAACUAACGUCUCUUCCAAUUUAAAGACACUAAUCAGAGGUCAUACGGAGCAUUCCCAUCCUGUUGUCAAUGAGCUAGGAUCCAUAGAAUCUUCUUGUUUCAGCCAAGCCUCACCCAUUUAGUGCACACUAAACCUCUAUUUGGAUCUUGAGAAGUACUGGGGCAAGGAAAAAAGUUAGAAAGCAAUCAUAAAAAUUUCUUGUUUGGCCAUGGAAAGUAUAAAAAGAAGGUGAAAUGUGAUGAAGAUUAGUUAAAAACUUAAUACAUUUUCAAAGUCUUCAUUCCAUGUACGGAAAGGAAAAAAGAUUGAGAAAGAUUGGGAAUUUUUUUUCUUUUAUGGAGUUCAAACUCUUUUCCUGUUCUCCAGCUCUACUUUUUUUCUUGUUCCUUGUUUUCUUCCUUUCC
rnacentral:lncRNA from 1 species